AGUCCAUGGUGAGGGCAUCGCCUAAGCAAAUCCUUGUAUCUCUUCCAUGCCUCAUACAGUGGUUCACUCUCAAGUUGUAAUUAGAGAUUUCAAUGCGCAU